rnacentral:tRNA from 1 species
GGGGUUGUGGCUCAGUGGUAGAGCGCCCGCCUAGCAUGUGCAAGGUGCUGAGUUCGAUUCUCAGCACCACA